rnacentral:rRNA from 1 species
AUGCUGUGGAAUAGCUCCGUGACGCCCGUGGGAGCCGUGGUGAAGGACGACAUGGACCUGUGGCAGCGGCAGCCGCUGGAGACGGUCUAUCGCCUCAACGUCGGAGGGCCCAAGGUGACCAUUGAGAACGACACGCUGUGGCGGACGUGGCUGCCCGACGGUCCCUACCUCUACGACGCCUCCGGGCUGUCGGUGGUGAGCAACACCUCCAACCCGAUCAUCUACGAUUCAUCGAACGGAUACACGAGGGAGGUGGCGCCAGAUGUCGUGUACCAGACCCAGCGCAUGGCGAACGUGACGGACUUACUGGCGGCGACAACCCCGGGCCUGAACUUCAACCUCACGUGGACGUUCCCGGCGGUGAAGGGGUCCCACUACCUCGUCCGCCUCCACUUCUGCGACUACGAGGUGGUCAGCUCCGUCGUCGGCGUUGGCAUCGUCUUCAACGUCUACAUCGCGCAGACCAUUGGCACUCCAGACCUCACGCCGAAUGCUCGGGCGACUCAGUCGAACGAGGUCUUUUACAUGGACUACGCGGCCAGGGCGCCGAGCACCGGGAACCUCACGGUGAGCAUCGGCUGGUCGUCGAAAAGGAGCGGAGGUGGGAUACUGAACGGGCUAGAGAUUAUGAGGCUGCCGCCCGUUGAUUUGAGCUCGAGGAGGUACGGCAGGACGAAGAGGACCAUUGUCAUUACGGUGUCGGCAGUGCUCGGCGCCGCCGUUCUUGCUUGCGUGGUGCUCUGCUUUUUCGGCGUGCCGUAUACGAAGUACAGCGGCUCCGGCUGGGCUGAGCAGUUCACGAACCGAUGGUCCAGAGAGGGCAAGACCAGCGGGUUGCAGAGUGUGAGCACGAAGCUGCACAUCGCUCUCGCGAAGAUCAAGGCCGCCACGGACAACUUCCACGAGCGCAACCUCAUCGGCGUGGGCGGGUUCGGGAACGUGUACAAGGGCGUGCUCGUUGACGGCACGCCAGUGGCGGUGAAGCGCGCCAUGCGCGCCUCGCAGCAGGGGUUGCCGGAGUUCCAGACGGAGAUCGUGGUGCUGUCCGGCAUCCGGCACCGGCACCUGGUGUCGCUCAUUGGGUACUGCAACGAGCAGGCGGAGAUGAUACUGGUGUACGAAUACAUGGAGAAAGGCACGCUGCGGAGCCACCUGUACGGUUCCGACGAGCCGGCGUUGUCAUGGAAGCAGAGGCUGGAGAUCUGCAUCGGCGCGGCGAGGGGCCUGCACUACCUGCACAGAGGCUACGCGGAGAACAUCAUCCACCGUGACGUCAAGUCGACCAACAUCCUCCUCGGGAGCGACGGCGGCAGCACCGGUGGCGUGAUCGCCAAGGUGGCCGACUUCGGGCUGUCGCGCAUCGGGCCGUCGUUCGGGGAGACGCACGUGAGCACGGCGGUGAAGGGCAGCUUCGGGUACCUGGACCCGGGGUACUUCAAGACGCAGCAGCUGACGGACCGGUCGGACGUCUACUCCUUCGGCGUGGUGCUGUUGGAGGUGCUCUGCGCGCGACCUGUGAUCGACCAGAGCCUGGACCACGGCCGGAUCAACAUCGCCGAAUGGGCCGUGAGGAUGCGCAGGGAAGGGCGGCUCGACAAGAUGGCCGACCCGAGGAUCGCCGGCGAGGUGGACGAGGAGUCGCUGCUCAAGUUCGCAGAAACCGCUGAGAAGUGCCUGGCGGAGUGCUGGGUGGACCGGCCGUCCAUGGGCGACGUGCUGUGGAACCUGGAGUAUUGCCUACAGCUGCAGGAGACCAAUAUCACCGGGGACGGACUCGACGACAUGGUACCGUCGUCGACGAGCUUGUUGAUGGACGAGACCGACUUGAGCAUGACCAAUGUCGCCGACAGCAAGGUAUUCUCCCAGCUGAGCGCCCGCGGCGAGGGACGAUGA